GAUGGCCUAAUGAAAACUGCAUCCUGGAGUAUGCCUUCUACUUCCUAGACACUCUAGCUUCACCCAAGAUCCUUUGCAGAUAUGGAGGGAAGAAAAGCACACCGCCUACAAUCUCAGGGCCCUGAAGAUGGACUUGGGCAAGUUAGUUCACUGGAGCUCUUUUUACUUCUUUCGAAUAUGGCCACAUUGAAAAAAAAAUCUCCUUUUUUUUCUAUUUUGCACUAUUAAUUGGCUUAUUGAGGAUGGGUGGCUGGACCUGACUUGGGACACAGGUUGUAGCCCCAAGUUUGACAAUGAAAGUUAAGCUGAACAUUGGGAUUCAUUCUUACUUCUUGACUGCUGAUGCAAUACAAUUCUACUUCUUGGUCCUGCCAUAAUGGACUGUACUCUCCAACAGUGAACCAAAAUAAAGCCUCCCUUCCUUGA